UAGGGAAUCUUGCACAAUGGACGAAAGUCUGAUGCAGCAACGCCGCGUGAAGGAUGAAAGUCUUCGGAUUGUAAACUUCUGUUCUUGGGGAAGAAAAAAAUGACGGUACCCAAGGAGCAAGCCCCGGCUAACUACGUGCCAGCAGCCGCGGUAAUACGUAGGGGGCAAGCGUUAUCCGGAAUUAUUGGGCGUAAAGAGUGCGUAGGUGGUUACCUAAGCGCAAGGUUUAAUGUAGCAGCUCAACUGCUAUUUGCCUUGCGAACUGGAUAACUUGAGUGCAGGAGGGGAAAGUGGAAUUCCUAGUGUAGCGGUGAAAUGCGUAGAUAUUAGGAGGAACACCAGCGGCGAAGGCGGCUUUCUGGACUGUAACUGACACUGAGGCACGAAAGCGUGGGGAGCAAACAGG
rnacentral:rRNA from 2 species